rnacentral:lncRNA from 1 species
UUUUCAAUAAAUUUUAGUAGGGGGACGAUGUUUGUCUCUCUAUGCUUACCAAAAAAAAAAAAAAGAUCUCAGACUAAAAAGGACAAGUUCUUUAAUUUCGAAUCACUUUCGAUUGUAAAAGACGAUUAGAAUCUUAAUACAUGUACUAAUUAACUACAAAGACCAAGACGAGUGGAUCAUUAGGCCAUCUCCAACCAUUGUCCUAAAACCUAUAAUAUGUUUAAGUUUCUCAAUUUUACAUCUCCAACCCAAAUACAACUUGAUGAUGAGUAGCAUUGUUAUUGCCCUAGCAGCUAGAAUUCCUCAUUUCCUGCACACAUGUACUCCGUUUUUGGUUGUUACUUAUUUUUGCAAUUUACAUCUCACUUCAUCACAAACAGAGAAGACAGUGAAUAAUGGAUUAUGUGAGGUUGGGGGAGUUUUGGCUCCCUCCCUUAGCAUCAAUUGGUCUCUUCUGUUCUGUUCUGCCAUAGGGAGGAUAUGCCAGAACAAUAUGUUCAGUUCCUCGGUUUGCAAUUUCCCACUAUGUUUUUGUGAGGAGUUCGAGUGGAAGAUUUGAUUCUCAACAUUGGUUAUGAUUCUGACAAGAAGACUCGCCAUUUUCCUCCCGAUCAUUUCAAUAAGUUUGUUUCCAUAAUGUCAACGAGCUGGAGGUUUUGAUGAUGCACAGUAGGACCUAUUGUGCCGACACAACAUCUCCACAAGGAAUAGGAAGGAUAUUGUGCGUUAUUGAGAGAGCAGCCCAGCUUGAGCUCUGUUAGUCUCUAACAAGCUUGCUAGGUUAACUUUGACUUGAAAAAUGAGUUGCAGACAAAUCUUUAAUUCUCAUUAUCAAAAGUUUACUCUUGAUUAUGAUUCCAGUCGUCAAUUCAAGCUAGGCAAUCUUGAUAUAUAUAACUUAAAACAUAAGAGUAUUUGAAGUUUUGAACGUCCACUGAUAAUGAAUCUGUUAAACUCUGGUAACAACGUACAGUUUUCUUUUAUACGUGUUGUAUCGGCAACAGAAUGAUCCAUAUUCUGUCUGUUCUACAAGAUGAUGCUAUUGAUCAUAUGCAAGCACAUAUCCAAUUUUAGAGGUAACUGCUAAGAUGAUACCGAACGAGUAACCAAAAAGAUGAGCUGCCAGAAACACCAGUGACCACAGGAGUUUAUAUGGCUUUGGUUUUGAUCACCUAUCUUUUUCCUCAAAAAAUGAGGACAUACAGGUAUACGUAUAGUGCAACAUUGUGUGCAAUAUCAAACAUAGAUAUAUGGUUUGAGAGGCUAAAGAAAAUACGAUAGAUAAUCAAACAAGGUAAUACAGUGCAUGUCACAACGCAUAUGUAUGACAUUAGAUUGGUGUGCCAUAAUAACAAGUAGCUAGGCCAUAAUAAUAAGUAGCUAGGGUAGAUAGUUGAAACAAGAGUGUCAUACACACAAAACAUUACUUGGGACUUGCUGAGCCUGUGUCAGGAGUCAUGACUAGAGUGUCUCAACUGAGACAAAAAGAUCAUUGUUCUUCUGGAACUCUAUGGCCUGCGGAAUAGUGUGUCAACUGAGACAAAAAGAUCAUUCUUCUUCUGGAACUCUAUGGCCUGCGGAGUAUCCUUGAUUGAGCAUUGGUCAGUCAUGUGUUUUCCACCACAGUGAAAGCAUAAUAUCUUACUUACAUAAGUUUUUCCAGUCCCCCCAAGGAAGGCAGAAACCCAUGCAAAUCCCUCUGGUAAAGGUUUGUCAGGAUCGUAUAGUGGAUCCUUGCCAUCCCUUGGAUCACGUUUGGCCGCACCUUUGCACCCAUAAAAAAAGAGGAGGUUAAAAUCAGAACCCCGAAUGGGAUAAUCAAAGAAAAAGUCAUGAUAAUGAAAUUCAUGUUUUAUGAGUGUUACGAUCCUAACCCAGAAAUGCCAUUGCAAGAAAUGAAAAACGAGAAAGGAAAGGAAAACUAAAAUUCAAUAUAUUCUUCAAUACCAUUACAAGCAUCCUAGAUUGCCUUGUAUAGUAGGAGAAUAGGAACCCUAAAGACCCAUGUAAGAGAGAACCCCGUUUCAUUAACAAACUACUAUUUCUAGGAGGCUCAAACCAACAAAUAGCUCACCUAAACAUUUAGAUAAUGAGCAGCAAAUCAUCAAAUCAAAAUGAGUUCAUAAGUAGUCUUGGGGAUCACUACGGAAUCGAUCGAGGACAUAACUCAUCCCUAACUCUGAUAGUAAACACACACAAAACAGAAAGGCAUGAAGAGAAAUUCCAAAAACAGCUAAAUAGUAAAAUCAAGAGCAUGCAUACGUUCUGCAUCGGCCAAGUCAGAGGCCACCAAAAUCUUUUCAAACUUUUCUGCGAACGAGAGUUUUAGAUCUUCGCGAGUCAAAAAGCGGGCGGCUAAUUCAGAAUCUGAUAACUCCUCCAUCCUGUUCCGCUUCGGCGAUGAGGAUUCGAGGCUGGGGAUCAUCUCCAACGGUGAGGGUCGUCAUCGCUCGCUUCGAUUAGGGUUUCGCGUCGCCUUCAAUUUGGUUGUUGAUUUCGAUCUGAGGACGACUCGCUUUUUUACAUUAUAUAUAGAAUCAGGAUUUGGGCUUUGGGCCGGGUUUGUUCCGUCUUUCCUUUUCCUUCUUGCUUUUGGACAAGGUUUUCGUAACCACGUAUCGUUAGCCAAUAAGAAGAAGACAAGCGUCCUGUUGAAGAGCCACCACAGCAUCAGGGUUGUUGGCUUCUACGACAGUAUGGAUUGGGUCUGAAAUCACAUUUGGGCUUGGGGCCGAUUUCUUUCUUUUCGUUUCUUCCCCAGUAGGCCAAUUUGAGAUUGGAUCCGCUAGUUUAUCAAUGUAGAUAUUGAGCAGGUAUAAGUAUUCAUUAUCAGUACAAUGUACCGUCUAUGAAUAAAGAGAUUUGGAUCGUUUGUUAAGGAGGUGGCCAUUAUAAUUUAGUUUAAGUAACAUGGGUGUCUAUAGAAACUUAACAGAACUACGAUGUGACCGAAGUGUUAUUUGAAAUUUAUUGUGGGAAUAAGCAUCGUGUUUUCCUCAUUAUUUCAUGUGUGGGAAGCUGAAAAUGCAGCAUGUAUCAUGUACGAUAAUCCUUAUGAGGAUGAUAUAUUUAUGAUUUUUGUAAGUCGUUUCUUGUUGACGAUGGUUGAGUUAUUAAAGAGGGAUGUGAUUCCUUCUGUCAUUAUUGGUCGUCGAAAACUGUGAAAUAUUGAUGCCGACGACGUUGACUCAUUCUUUUUUGAGUCGGUAAGUCCAGAAGGACUUGAUUUCUCAUUUGGGUGGGUGAGUAUGCCUACGUUAGGACUUGAAAUCUUAGAUGAAAUUUUAUGUUAUACGGAGAGAUAUAGCCCACUAAAGGCCCAAUUCUCCUUAAAUUGCCAUGUCUUGAAAUGUUGUCCUCUCUUCUUCUCACAGUCACUCGCUCUCUCACUCACCAAGUUCAACACUUGCAGGAGCUCAAAAACCCAGAAAGCUCCAAUCUUUUCGAAAACCCAGAAAGCUCAAACCUUUCUCAAACAACCCAGAAAGACUCCAUUUUUAUAAGAAACCCAGAUGAGCAACAAGACGUUGCUGCAGGAGGUUUGCGCCAAAAAGGGGUGGGCUGCACCCAAGUACUGUAUCACCAAGCAAGGCCCUGAUCACAUUCCUCAGUUCUCCGCCACCGUUGUCGCCAAUGACGUCAGCUUCGUCUCUCAGGGCUUCCUCGGCUCCAAGAAGGAAGCUGAGGCCUCUGCUGCCGGAAUGGCGUUGCAAAAGCAUCUUGGUUAUCAAAGCCAACAGCCCAUUAGCCCAAAUGUCGAGUCUUUGUCUUCCCCAGGUAACAAGGUUUUACAAGUGUUUAAGCUUUUAUUGAUCAAGGAAGUUCUGUUGUGGAAUUUUGACUGUUUGAAUUUGUGAUGCAGUGAAAGUUGGCUGUGUGAACAAAGUUGAGGGCAAUCCCACAUCGGUGAGUCUCAGUUUCCUCAUAAUUGGAGUUAAAGUUUCCGACUUUAAGAGUUUAAGUUGAGGGAUUGUAAGACUAGCUUACAAUAUUGUUCAUGAUAUGCUGUUGAAUUAGAAUAUUACGAUAUAAUGCACUUGAAAACUUUGAGAAUUGGUAUGCUUAGAAGCCUUGUUAGAUAGAGCUCGAGGUUAAUAAGAUGUAGACUUGAUUAAUUGUUUCUGCUUUGCGUCCUGCAAUGUACUGUUCUUUAAUUGUUGAGUGUACAAGGAUUCAGGAUUGUGCAGUGUGUCUUGUUCAUUUAGUAACUCCUCCUUAUGAAUUAUAUUUUGGUUGUUUACUUGGCUCAUUUUUGUUAAGAGGCUUUGGGUUAAGGGUUUUGAAGAUUAGCUUACAUUAUUGUUCAUCAUAUGUCGUUAAAUGGGAAUAUUACAAUGAAAUGUACUUGACUGAUAUGCUUAGAGUAUGAUUAAGCCUUGUUAGAUAGAGCUUAAGGUUAAUAAGAUGUAGUGUUGAUUAAUUGUUGUUUGAAUCAGGAUUCAUGGUUGUGCAGUGCUGUCUUGUUUGAUUAGUAACUCCACAUUUUACUAAUGAACUUUUGGUGGUUUACUUAUCUCGUUUUUGCACUACUGUGUCCUGCAAUUUUGACUCUUAAAUGUACUGUUUGUGACUUUAGAGUAGGAAAAAGCCUUGCUAGAUAGAGCUUAAUGUUAAUAAGAUGUUGUGUUGAUGAAUUGUUGUUUGUAUAAGGAUUCCCGGUGCUACUGUAUUUGUAGAGCUUCAGGUUAACUUUUGGUGGUUUACUUAUCUUGAUUUUGUGCUACUGUGUCCUGCAAUUUUGACUCUUAAAUGUACUGUUUGUGACUUUUUGAUGGGGGAUAAAGUAGUUGUCUUUCUCUUGCAGAGUGAUACUAAUAUCACACCGAAGAAGAAGGGUGCAGAUGAAGUGGAGCAGUUGUUGGCUCAGGAACAGAAGGUAUGCUUUGAGUUAUUUGGUUUUACUUGGUGGUUAUGGUUGGAUGAAGUCGCGAGCCUCUGAAACAUGUUGUUUUAUGAUUAACCAGCUAUGGCAGAAAGAGAAGCUUGAGCUUGAGCUGAAGAACCUUGAAUUGGCGAUUGCAACUGAUGUGAAGAGUAAUGAGAUUCAACAAUUUGAGAAGAAACUGCAAGAUAUGGUAAUCAGUACUCUGUUGAUGUCAAUGAAUUCUGUAUCUAUUUGUGGGUGGGUAAUCUAGUAGCUAGAAUAUGGUUGGCUGACAUUCUCUUGGCCAUUAUGUAUAAUGUGAGCAACUGCUGUGCUUUUUCCUUUCAGAAAGAGAUGGCAACAAUGGAGCAGAUGAAAACUAGGAGGGUGAUAUCAUUGGUAGAAGAGAAAAAGGUUUGUUGUCAGUUAUCUUUUUGAAAUUAUCAGAUUUGGAUGAACAAAUCUCUUUGUUUGUUUGUUUUGGUAACUGAUGAACGAAUCGAUGAAUUCUUAAAUUUGCUUAUUGACUUGCAAUUGCAGGGAGAAAAUGAGAAACUCCAUAUGAAAGUGGCUGAACUGGAAAAGCAACUCCAGGCAGUGAGUGGGGAUAUGGAAGGGGGAAAGAAGAUAAUCGGUCUCUCCGACUCUUUCCGAAAGGAGCAAAGCUAUAAAAAUGAACUCGAGGAGACUCGUAAGGCGUUGAUCAAUGUAUGUCAGUUUGUUCGUUCCAUUUGGGUGGUUUGUCAAAUAUGUUAUUGUUCUAAUAUUAUCUCUAAAAUGUUUCCUUAGCUAUACUUGUAGUUUAUAUUGGAUUAAUUUACUGAUAUUGAUAAGCCUUAAACAUAUUGAAGCCUCUUGGCCUGAUUUGCUGAUUUGCUAAUCUUAAUAUGCUCUGAAUUGAUGCCUUAAACAUAUUGGAAUCUACGGUUCUACAAACUGCUGGGACUGUUGCUCUUGACAUUUUUACCUACCAAUUUGGAUCUUUGAAAUGUAAUUGUUAUAAUAAUACCUCUAAAAUGUUUCUUUAGCUAUACUUGUAGUUUAUACUGGAUUUGUUUACUGAUUUUGAUAAGCCUCAAACAUACUGGAUUAAUUUACUGGCACCGUUACCUACCACUUAGGAUCUCUAAUAUGUGAUUGCUUUAAUGUUAUCUCUAAAAUGUUUCCCUAGCUAUACUUGUAGUUCAUACUGGAUUAAUUUACUGAUAUUGAUAAGCCUUAAACAUAUUGGAGCCUCUUGGCCAGAUCUGUUGAUUUGCUAAUCUUAAUAUGCUCUGAAUUAGUUCGGAAGUUUGGGAGAAUUGUAGUGGAAUUAUAGUGUGCCGUCUGUAUUUUGAGCAAUACAGUGGAAAACCCAAGAAUGUUUGAGUGAUUUUUUCAGUGUUGUGCGUCUUAAGGAGCAUAAUGUUGCUAUCGUUCUUGUGUUAUCUUUGUUAUUUGCAGGUAUUACGUGAUGGUUCAAAAGAGAAUAUUGGGGUUAAAAGAUUGGGAGAUCUUGAAUGGGAAUAAUAGUCUUACUAAUUUAUUGAUAGAUAGAGUCACCCGAAUGAUUUAGAACAUCUAUCAAAACUAUAAUCUAUUCUAAUAAGAAAACGAAUAGGUCAAGACAUAUAACAGAAGGACAGAAAAGUAAUUUUCUUAAACAUUAUGUAGUUAAAAACAUGUUUUAACCAUAAAUUACCCAAAUGUAGUGGAGCUAAUCACUCGAUGUAAAUUACCAUGUACCCUCUUUUGGUUUUAAACUUUGGCCCAGUUUGGGACAGCUGUGCUGUGAGAAGAAUUGCUUCUGGAAUUGCUGUAAGAAGAAUUGCUUCUGGAAUUGCUGUGAGAGGAAUUAGUUGAGAUGUUUGAUAAACUGUUUUUAAAAGGGCAAAAUAGGAUUUAGGAAAAAUUCAUUUAAUCUUUUUAUGUUUCUGAGAUUGAUUCUCGCAAAAGCACCUCUUACCCUGUUUCUCUAAAACCCGUUUUUAAGAGAAUCUAUUCCUCUAAAAUCAGUUCUACGGGUGGUUACCAAACACUCAAGUUGUCCCAAAAUCACUUUUGACCCUAAAAGCAGUUUCAAAAUCGUUCCCAAACUGGCAUUUUAAUGUGAAGUAAGUUUAUAGAGAUUGUACAAAAAAAUUGAAAAGAAAAAAUAAAAUAAAAUAAAAAUAAAGGCGGAAACCAGGUAAACUCGCCUUCGCGCACAACUCACUCACCAAUGCAAACUUCGAUGUGACCACCGCCUCAUCUUCCCCUCCCUUUCAAUUCCCCGAUUUAAUGGCCCUCCGAUUCUACCCCUCCCCUUCGCUAGAUCUUCAAGCGGCGGCGAUGUGACGAGGCGGGCCUUGACGGAUCUGAAGAGGUGGAGCGGAUGAUGCCGCCGGCGAGCGAGGAGUGGAUGAUUCCGUCGACGAGACGCAGAGGAUGGAGAGGGAGACUCGGCGGAUCGCGCCGCCGCGAGAGGAAAAGCUGGGUUUCGAUAAUAGUAGCAGUCAUGGGUCGUGAAUUAGGCAUGUGGUCAUACGGAUUUUGGAUGACAGCGAACCU